rnacentral:misc_RNA from 1 species
CGCACAUUGCGCCCUUUGGUAUUCCUUAGGGCAUGCCUGUUCGAGCGUCAUUUAAACCCUCAAGCGCUGCUUGGUGUUGGGCGCUUGUCCCGCUCUCUGCGGGACUCGCCUUGAAAACAUUGGCAGUCAUCUGUAACUAGAAGCGCAGCACAUGAGCGUAGCUCUGGUUGUGGUUGAUUCCCAGAAGCGUACACCCACGUUUUGACCUCGGAUCAGGUAAGGAUACCCGCUAAACUUAA